rnacentral:rRNA from 1 species
GACGAACGCUGGCGGCGUGCUUAACACAUGCAAGUCGAACGGUGACGCGCUUUCCUUUUUGGCGGGGGUGGAUGAGUGGCGAACGGGGGAGUAACACGUGAGUAACCUGAGCAAUCCUUCUGGAUAACGGCAUGAAAGUGUGGCUACUACGGGUAAUUCCGGGUCAGUCGCAUGAUGGGUCUGGGAAAGAUAUUGUAUCGGUGGGGGGUGGGUUCGCGGCCUCUCAGCUUGUUGGUGUGGUGAUGGGGUAACAGGGCGGUGACGGGUAGCCGGCCAGCGAGGGUGGACGGGCACACGGGGGCUGAGCCGCCGCCCAGACUCCUACGGGAGGCAGCGGUGGGGAAGAGUGCACAAUGGGCGCAAGCCUGAUGCAGCGACGCCGCGUUAGCGAUGGAGGCCUGCGGGUUUGGAACCUCUUUCGCCAGUGAAACAGGCCUUCCUCGUUUGUGAGUGGGUUGACGGUAGCUGGAGAAGAAGCGCCGGCUAACUACGUG